rnacentral:rRNA from 1 species
AUUGAACGCUGGCGGCAGGCCUAACACAUGCAAGUCGAGCGGAUGAGAGGAGCUUGCUUCUCGAUUCAGCGGCGGACGGGUGAGUAAUGCCUAGGAAUCUGCCUGGUAGUGGGGGACAACGUUUCGAAAGGAACGCUAAUACCGCAUACGUCCUACGGGAGAAAGCAGGGGACCUUCGGGCCUUGCGCUAUCAGAUGAGCCUAGGUCGGAUUAGCUAGUUGGUGAGGUAAUGGCUCACCAAGGCGACGAUCCGUAACUGGUCUGAGAGGAUGAUCAGUCACACUGGAACGGAGACACAGUCCAGACUCCUACGGGAGGCAGCAGUGGGGAAUAUUGGACAAUGGGCGAAAGCCUGAUCCAGCCAUGCCGCGUGUGUGAAGAAGGUCUUCGGAUUGUAAAGCACUUUAAGUUGGGAGGAAGGGUUGUAGAUUAAUACUCUGCAAUUUUGACGUUACCGACAGAAUAAGCACCGGCUAACUCUGUGCCAGCCGCCGCAGUAAUAC